GUGGGGGAUUAUGAUUUAUUGGUGGGGUGAUUUGAGUUAAAUUAAAGAUUACUGCCCUCCCACAUUAAUCCCUCUCCCACCCAUCUCUCAAUUUUCACACCACCACCACCCACCUCUUUCAUUUCAUUCCCCCAUCUCAUCUCUCCUCUCUCUCUCUCUCAUCUUUUUUUUUUUUUUUCUUUAAUUUACUCAUCCACCCUCUAUAAUCUUCUGUAAGGUUUGAGUUUUGAGGUUUGGACUUUAGAUCUAUCGCUGCAUCUGCUUCUAUUUGGCUGAUUUGCUGAAGAACAAGAUAUUAGGAUAUUCGAUAAAUCCAGAUUUAGUAACCCUAAUGAAAGGGCACAGAGGUCUCGUAACUACCCUGCCCGAAAAUUUUAGCUUCGAUAAUGGCUCUACGUCAUCCGAUGCUGCCAUAGACACUCAAAUGUCGUGGAACACCAUGCAGACUUCGUCACAAAACCGUGUACCCGAUUACCGAAUAUCAUCUAACGAGGCCAAUAUGCAGUGGAGUUCGGGCGAAACUAGUUCUAGUGCUGGUUUUUCCUUGACAGAAUCUCAAUACGACCCAUCGGAUAUUCCCUCAUUGGACGGCGCUGAUGUAAACACAAACAUCAAUCAGACAGCAAACACCCAAUCUCUCCCUCAGGAUCUCAACAUGUGUUCAGAGUUUGGAAACAAUGAGGAUGAAGACUGCCACGUCAUCGAACGGCCGAAUACAUCAACCGAGAAGAUGCCAUCGACCGA